ensembl:lncRNA
GGGGGUGAUGCUGCUGCUGUGGCGCCUUGGGAAGCAGAGACCUCUGAAAACAGACAGGGACCCUUGUCUCCCGCCCGGGGGACCUGCCCAAGGCAGCCCACCCAUGUCACCUGCAGGGAGGCGUCCUCAGCGCCCUCCUUCCUCCCAUCCUCCUAAAUCUGUCAGAGCUGGCGCUCCCUGGAAACCACUCGAGGAAGAGCUAGAGAGGGUGGAGCAGGGGACGGGAUGGGCCCCCAGACUGGUGCCCACCUGCAACCUCAGACAUGACCUGACUUGCAACUUCUCCAGGGAUGCAUCUGUGGGUGGUAGACUCUGGUGGUUUCUGCAUGUUCUAAGAUCCUGGAGCCCAGGACGCGAGCCAGUGCCAUGAGACUCACAGUAGCCGUGUACAUGAGGGACGUCCACCCCAGACGACGGUCACCGUAAGGAUGCUUAGGUGUUAAAGGCCUCACGGAAACAUGAAGAAGGUCAGGGUCCCCUUCCCUUGAAUUCUCUGUGUGGCUCGAUGGCCAGCAGAGGGCCCAGGACUGGGUUCGGGUCUCUGCCACCCCCUGUAAGUGGGCGGGGCUGGGCUGCAGGAAGAAGAGCUAGACCUGGCUGUCCCGCCGCGUGGAGCCCCUCCACCCCCAGGGGGGUUUGUCUUUCCAUGUCUUCACCCUGGGACUAGUCCCCUCCACUGAGUGGCCGCUGUGGGUCCAGAGUCCAAAUUUGCCAGGUCUCCAGCACAAAGGAGCAGGCUGGUCCAGCCCUGGUCGAGGGAACGUGGCAGGCCUGACCUCCUACCACCUGGACCCCUCACUGGUACCUCCUCUCUGACGCUCGUCUCCUCGCACUCCUGGUGGUGAAGCCUGUGGGUGGAACCUGCACUUCCAUCGCUUCUGCCCUGCUUGAAGACGCCAGCAAAUACAACGUGGACAUCAAAGCAAAGAGCUGCCUGAGCUUUUGAGAUCCAUACAAACUGAUUGUCUUCCCCCGAAGCAGGCUGUCAUUUUCCCUUACUUAAAGAGGGGUGACUUAUGGAAUAUAAAUUGGAAGAGAAGUUUAUCUGGAUGAAUGAGGUUUGGCUGGUGUGAAUAAUUGCUGUAUAG